rnacentral:tRNA from 1 species
GUUUUAAUAAUUUAAUGAAAAUAUUGGUCUUGUAAACCAAAAAUAAGUAUGGCCUUUUAAAACU